GCGUUUACUGGCUGGAUGCCCUUCCUGUUGGCAAUGCAGAGUUAUAUUCAGCAGAUACAAUUCUCAUCGUGCCCAGAGAGAGAAAUAUCCGCCUCUAUCUAUGACAGCCUCCUUAUUGUGAGGCAAGAGCACCACCUCCAGGCCACCGCACCACGUUAGAUACCGUCAAAUGCUA